GACGAACGCUGGCGGCGUGCCUAAUACAUGCAAGUAGAACGCUGAAGGAGGAGCUUGCUUCUCUGGAUGAGUUGCGCACGGGUGAGUAACGCGUAGGUAACCUGCCUGGUAGCGGGGGAUAACUAUUGGAAACGAUAGCUAAUACCGCAUAAUAGCAGUUGUUGCAUGUCAACUGUUUGAAAGGUGCAAUUUCACCACUACCAGAUGGACCUGCGUUGUAUUAGGUAGUUGGUGGGGUAACGGCCCACCAAGGCGACGAUACAUAGCCGACCUGAGAGGGGGGUCGGGCAACAUGGGAAUGAGACACCGCUCAGACUUCUACGGGAAGGAGCAGUAGGGAAUCUUCGGCAAUGGACGGAAGUCUGACCGAGCAACGCCGCGGGAGUGAAGAAGGGUCUCGGAUCGUAAAGCCCUGUUGUAAGAGGAGAACGAGUGUGAGAGGGGAAAGUGCACACUGUGACGGUAUCUUACCAGAAAGGGACGGCUAACUACGUG
rnacentral:rRNA from 1 species